ensembl:lncRNA
UAUUGGGUGGUCUAGAACCCGUUUGGUGUCCCCAGACACCAUUGGGGGGGUGUGACAAUGUUGGGUGGUCUAGAACCCGUUGGGUGAUGCAGGACACCCUAGGGGGUGUGUGACAACGUUGGGUGGUCUAGAACCCGUUGGGUGUCCCCAGACACCAUCGGGGGGGUGUGACAACGUUGGGUGGUCUAGAACCUGCUGGGGGACCCAUGACACCAUUGGGAGGAGGUGGUCCCAUUGGGUGGUCUAGAACCUGUUGGGUGUCCCCAGACACCACUGGGGUGUGUGUGACAACGUUGGGUGGUCUAGAACCCGUUGGGUGUCCCCAGACACCAUUGGGGGUGUGUGACAAUGUUGGGUGGUCUAGAACCCAUUGGGUGCCCCUGGACACCAUUGGGGGGGUGUGACGUUGGGUGGUCUAGAACCCGUUGGGUGUCCAGGACACCAUCGGGGCGGGUAGGUGAUAUUGGGUGAUCUAGAACCUGCUGAGGGACCCAGGACACUGUCUGGGCGGGGCCUCACUGGGUGAUCUAGAACCUGGUGACUCAGGAUACCAUGGAGACAGGAGGGACCCUAUUGGGUGAUCUAGAACCCUUUGGGUGUCCCCACAGGUGCACCGAGGGGCCCAGGCGUCCGGGACGGAGGCAGGCAUCCAGGCCGGGGGUGGGCAGAAGGGCCCAGGCGUCCGGGUUUAUUGCCCUGCCACCCCAAAGGGGCCCAGGUGUCCGGGGUGGUGGCGCUCAGAGGGGCCCAGGCGUCCGGGACGGAGGGGCCCAGGCGUCUGGGCUAGUGUCGCUCAGAGGGGCCCAGGUGUCUGGGGCAGAGGGGCCCAGGCGUCCGGGCCGGUGUCACUUGGAGGGGCCCAGGCAUCUGGGUCGAAGGUGCUCAGAGGGGCCCAGGCGUCCGGGAUGGUGUCGCUCAGAGGGGCCCAGGUGUCCGGGGCAGAGGGGCCCAGG